UGCGGGGUGGAGCAGCCUGGUAGCUCGUCGGGCUCAUAACCCGAAGGCCGCUGGUUCAAAUCCAGCCCCCGCUACCA
rnacentral:tRNA from 1 species